GUCUGGUUAGUCAGUUGGUAGAUCGCUCUUGGAAAUGGAGAGGUCCCUAGUUCGAUACCAGGACCUGGCG
rnacentral:tRNA from 1 species